rnacentral:tRNA from 1 species
GGGUAUAUAGCUCAGUUGGUGAGAGCGCACGCCUGAUAAGCGUGAGGUCCCUGGUUCGAAUCCAGGUAUACCCA